rnacentral:lncRNA from 1 species
CAAAGGUGUGUGCCCUAAAACCCAGCCUACCAUAAUUUUCCAGUGACUAAGUCAGCGGGGCAGACUAUCCAGCCAAGCAGUUACCAAGUUGUCUGAAGGUUAAUGCCAACAACGAGAUCAAUACAUUAGCAAAGGCAACCACACUUCCUGCCAGAGGAAAGCAAGUGUUUCUAGAAAGUGGCCCAGAUCUGGACUCAGAAGAUGCACUGUGAGGACAUCCAAACCGCUCGGUCUCAGUCCUGGAUGAGAGGAGGUGCCAGCUGAGACCAGGGUCUGCUCAGGCGCAUUUGCUCACCACCUAUGGGAUGCCAAGUGCCUCCAUGGACUCUCAGAGAAGACUGGGUGUGUUCAGGACGCUAUGGCCAUGAUACAUAUUCUAAGUGUACAUUGAGGGCAACGAGGAGAAUCUGCUGAAGGCCUUGCAGGCCUCACCUGGGUGUCCUGCCCGAUAGAAUAGACUGAGGACAAUGAGACACAGGCUAGAGGCUUGUUCUUGGACAGACCCUCUGCCCUGAGCUCCACAUAAACACUUAGUGGGCUCUCAUUCCAGUCAGCAUGAGGCCUGCCUCAUCCUGAACUCAGCAAUCUCACUGUGGGGCCUUUUACCUUAUGAUCUCCCAUUGCCAUCCAAAGAGCUUGUGCUUGAUCUCCAGCCACCGGUUAAUACUCACAGGUCUUACUCAUGUUUCCGCAUCCUCUGCAUCCUUCAUUCUGUACCACACUGCCUCAGAGGAGUGAUCCAUCACCUCUCUGAUUUCCAGGAGAGCAAUGAGAGGACACAAAGGGAAGUUGCCAAGUCACCUAAAAUAACACCAGCUGAACCUUCCAGUGCCUCUGUCCUCUAGAAUUCCUAUAUGUCCCCUCCUUGGUAAGUGGCACACAUAGACGAGAUUGAACACUCACUGUCCCUAAGGCCUCUGAGCACUCUGUGGACUUGAACUCUCUAGAACCGAAGACUACUUUCUCCUAGGAGGCUUGCUCAGUUCAGUCUGAGGUGGCCUUGAGUCAGGACUUUGCUUUGCUAUCUCAGGGCUAUCUGUGAUCCCGUUACGUUAUAACAGGAGGUGUGCUUCAUUUGGUGUCCAUGUUGGUUGGAUUCCUGUUACUACUUUUAUGUGAUGGGGCCUCUCAUCCCAACCUUAUGCCCAUGGUGCACACCAAUGCAGACAGUCACAAUGAAGCUUGGUGACCUUGGGGCUAACUUUUCUACUUUAUAGGUGAGAAAAGUCAGACUUUAAGGGCUUAAAAGAGCUUCUAGAAGCCACAGAGAUGGUCAACCAGUCACACCUAUGAACCUCUCAUCUCGAAAUGUAAUGUUUUUCCCAUGUAAAUGCAGCCUUGUCAGCCAAACUGUCCCCAAGGUGGACUAUGUUGCUGAGAGCUACGUGUGGUUUCCAGGGACAUGGGGGAGGCAGGCUGUAGGUCAGCUGCUCAGUGGCCUACCGUUGCUUCUGAUAUCAGGUUGUUCUAAAACCCAGGGAACCCUUGAUCAUCUAAGGGACCUGAGUCAUGUCCCCACCCCUACACACACACACACACACACACACACACACACACACUUCAAACCAUAAGCUGGAGUUCUAACCACAGAGUGUGACGGUUUGGAGGUACCAGACCUAGAGCCUUAAAGAGAUUCCGUCAAAGUGAGAUCAUGGGGGUGGCCCUCAUGAAGGCUGACUCAGUCCUAAUAUGAAGAGAUGAGGAUUUAAGCUCACAGGAAGAUGGAAGCCCAUGAGGACAAGGGGGAA